GGGCCCGCACAAGCGGUGGAGCAUGUGGUUUAAUUCGAUGAUACGCGAGGAACCUUACCAGGGCUUAAAUGUAGGUUGCAUGAUCUAGAGAUAGAUCUUUCUUCGGACUACCUACAAGGUGCUGCAUGGUUGUCGUCAGCUCGUGCCGUGAGGUGUCAGGUUAAGUCCUAUAACGAGCGCAACCCCUAUCGUUAGUUGCCAGCGGGUAAUGCCGGGAACUCUAGCGAAACUGCCGGUGCAAACCGAGAGGAAGGUGGGGAUGACGUCAAAUCAUCACGGCCCUUACGUCCUGGGCUACACACGUGCUACAAUGGCCGGUACAGAGAGCAGCCACUACGCGAGUAGGAGCGAAUCUAUAAAACCGAUCUCAGUUCGGAUCGCAGUCUGCAACUCGACUGCGUGAAGCUGGAAUCGCUAGUAAUCG
rnacentral:rRNA from 1 species